AUUCCAUGAUGAUGGCAUUUUCGUAAUAAUUCUUUAUACCUUUCCCAUGCCUCAUAUAAGGACUUGUCAUCCAUUUGUUGGAAAGCAGUGAUCUCGUUCCUCAACUU
rnacentral:snoRNA from 1 species